rnacentral:rRNA from 1 species
AGAGUUUGAUCCUGGCUCAGAACGAACGCUGGCGGCACGCCUAACACAUGCAAGUCGAGCGCUACCUUCGGGUGGAGCGGCGGACGGGUUAGUAACGCGUGGGAACGUACCCAGAUCUACGGAAUAGCCUCGGGAAACUGAGAUUAAUACCGUAUACGCCCUUCGGGGGAAAGAUUUAUCGGAUUUGGAUCGGCCCGCGUUAGAUUAGAUAGUUGGUGGGGUAAUGGUCUACCAAGUCUACGAUCUAUAGCUGGUUUUAGAGGAUGAUCAGCAACACUGGGACUGAGACACGGCCCAGACUCCUACGGGAGGCAGCAGUGGGGAAUCUUGGACAAUGGGCGAAAGCCUGAUCCAGCCAUG